ensembl:lncRNA
AGAGAGGACAGGGGAGGUGCUGGGAAAAGGUGGAGACUGACGAUGGGAGAAAAGGAGGUCCUCAGUAGUUCAGUUUACGCCUGUUCUCUGAGGCCACUUCAAUUUUGACAAGCUGGAGAGCUGUUUCAUCAUUUCUUCACAAGUCCUUUUGUCACUUUUCUAGUGACAGACUGGGAGAUGAGCAGUUUAGGAACAUGGACAUCCAAUUGUCUCUUUUCUUUUAAGAUGUACAUCAGCAGCAGCCAAACUAAACCUCACCAGCAAGUCCAGCAGCAACGGGACAAGGGCCUGCGCCGUGGUAACGAAAUAAGUUGCUCACGGGACACUGAGGCAACAUCAGGACACGAUCAAAUCGCUUGGCUCCACAAAAGUCAGUAGAUCUGCUGCUUUUUAUAUUUUGGUGCAAUGGCUGAUGUUCCCAUUUCAUAUAAAUAGCGUAUGUGAC